GACGAACGCUGGCGGCGUGCUUAAUACAUGCAAGUCGUGGGGCAGCAGUUCCGUAGCAAUACGGGAGCUGGCGACCGGCAAACGGGUGCGGAACACGUACACAACCUUCCUUUAAGUGGGGAAUAGCCCAGAGAAAUUUGGAUUAAUACCCAGUAACAUUAUGAAGUGGCAUCACUUUAUAACUAUAGCGCCGCCACUUAAUGAUGGGUGUGCGUCUGAUUAGGUAGUUGGCGGAGUAAUAGCCCACCAAGCCUACGAUCAGUAACUGGUGUGAGAGAACGACCAGUCACACGGGCACUGAGACACGGGCCCGACUCCUACGGGAGGCAGCAGUAAGGAAUAUUGGGCAAUGGACGCAAGUCUGACCCAGCCAUGCCGCGUGGAGGAUGAAGGUCCUCUGGAUUGUAAACUUCUUUUAUCUGGGAAGAAAUCCAUCUUUUCUUGGGUGGUUGACGGUACCAGAUGAAUAAGCACCGGCUAACUCCGUGCCAGCAGCCGCGGUAAAAC
rnacentral:rRNA from 1 species